rnacentral:rRNA from 2 species
GCGGCGGACGGGUGAGUAACACGUGGGCAACCUGCCUGUAAGACUGGGAUAACUUCGGGAAACCGAAGCUAAUACCGGAUAGGAUCUUCUCCUUCAUGGGAGAUGAUUGAAAGAUGGUUUCGGCUAUCACUUACAGAUGGGCCCGCGGUGCAUUAGCUAGUUGGUGAGGUAACGGCUCACCAAGGCAACGAUGCAUAGCCGACCUGAGAGGGUGAUCGGCCACACUGGGACUGAGACACGGCCCAGACUCCUACGGGAGGCAGCAGUAGGGAAUCUUCCGCAAUGGACGAAAGUCUGACGGAGCAACGCCGCGUGAGUGAUGAAGGCUUUCGGGUCGUAAAACUCUGUUGUUAGGGAAGAACAAGUACAAGAGUAACUGCUUGUACCUUGACGGUACCUAACCAGAAAGCCACGGCUAACUACGUGCCAGCAGCCGCGGUAAUACGUAGGUGGCAAGCGUUAUCCGGAAUUAUUGGGCGUAAAGCGCGCGCAGGCGGUUUCUUAAGUCUGAUGUGAAAGCCCACGGCUCAACCGUGGAGGGUCAUUGGAAACUGGGGAACUUGAGUGCAGAAGAGAAAGCGG